AGUCGAGGACGGACCGGAAGUUAGGCCGGAAGCAGGAAGACACUAAUGUAGCUAGCUGGUAGCUAACCAUGCAUAUAUUAUUAAUUGUACCGGUAAAACAUUUCAAUAUUUUCAAACUGUAACGUUAGUAACAAGCUUGUGUCCCGUAGAGCCUUCUGCUGUUUUGCGGUAAUGCGGAUUGACAGAAGAAUCUAACCCGGAAGCUGGCCUGGAAGAAAGAAGAUGCUUAUGUUGAUAGCUAGUUAGCUUAGUUUAGUAGUGUCUGAAAUGUGUCUGAUAUCAUUUGAUGUCGUUUAAAUUAGACUUGGAUUUUGCCCAACUCGGACUAUAUACGUGGAGCUAGCGAUAUUUUCAACGACCAUUUCAUAUAGUUUUGCUAUCUGGUCUAGGAAAGUAAAUUAUCUAGCUACUGUUGGCCUAGCUAGUUAGCUAUCUGAGUUGUAUGGGAAGUAAUCCGCUAGAUAAUGUGACCUCGUGGUGAACUGUCGGGGAUUUGAGAAGAAUCUGCUUUAGUUUAAUUCAGUGACCCAACUCUUUUUCAUAGGAAACUAUUUCUGAAGAAAUCACGAUGGAUGAGGAUUCUGCUGACCCAUCCAACCCCCCUCUCUCCUGCUCCACUGAACCCAACCCUCCAGACCCUCCUGACUCUAACCAUAGAGACAUCGACACCUGCAGUGAAAUACCCAGAUUUAACAUUGUAGUCAAGGAGGAGGAAGACUGGGACGUGGAUGAUACUGUCGAACGAGGAGCGAGUUCUAACUCCAGCUCUAGUGAUGGGGCACCAGCAGAACCUGAACAGCACCAGGAGAAUCCUAGAGCUAAGAAGUUUUGGCGCUGCCCAGAAUGUGGAAUAGAGAUCGCUCACCCAUCUAAUUUCAACAGACACCUGAGAACACACACAAACCUUGCUAAGGAGUCUUCCGUCUGUCCAAUAUGUGGGAAAGAUUUUGUUCACCCCUCCAAACUGAAGAGACAUUUCCGAACACAUACAGGAGAGAAGCCUUACCAGUGCUCUGUGUGCGGGAAGCAAUUCACACUAAAGCCCCACCUGGAAAGACAUCAGAUGACCCACCCUGGAGAGAAACAGCCAGACGCGACAAAGAAGCACCCGUGCUCCGAUUGUGGAAAGGAAUGUUUCUCUGCAUAUGAACUGAAGAUGCACAUGAGAAAGCACACAGGGAGAGACCUCACCAGUGCUCCUACUGCGAGAUGAGCUUUGGCUGUAAGGAACUCUAUCGAGACACGUACGACGCCAUACAGGAGCACCCACACCGAAACCUUACCAAUGCUCACAGUGUGGGAAGAGAUACGAGUCACCAUCGAGGCUCAGGCAGCAUCAGACUGUGCACACUGGAGAGAAACCUUACGAGUGCUCUGAUUGCGGGAGGGGUUUCGCUUCGACCGAAGGUCUUCGCAAACGUCAAUGCAGCCAUGCCAGUAACCAUAGCAACCAGUGUACACUGGGAAUUGCAGAUACGGCAUCAUCAGGCAGUCAAACUAUGAAUAUCAAGAUCGAAGACGAGGAACAGGAGCUGGCAAUUAAUGUCAAAGAGGAGGAGGAGGAAAUUGUUGUUUUUGUCAAUGCUGAUAGAGAGAAACCUUACCGGUGUACCUCCUGUAAAAAUACCUUUGUUCACCGUAGCUCUCUAGCAAGACACAAACAAUCCCACACUAGUGUCGCACAAUACAGCUGCUCAGAAUGUGGGAAGGAAUUCAGCCAAUCGUGGACUUUCAAGAUACACAUGCAACAGCACACCGGAGAGAAACCACACCACUGCUGUCGGUGUGAUAAGAGUGUCUCAGCUUCACCACUCCACAAAAGACACCAGCGAGUUCACACUAAAGUGAAACCUUACCCCUGCUCUCUCUGCAGAAAUAAAUUAUCCUCGUCGGCAAAUCAGUCCUGUCUCCAUGCUGGAGAAGGAUCUGUGGCUAGCCUGAGCCAAGCUCCUGGACAGGGAUCACAGCAGCAGGUGUCUGCAGCGGUAGAGGAGUCUGUUGUACUGGAUGUCAAAGUGAAAGAGGAGGAGGAGGAUCCUGCUUUCGCAGAGAGACCUGACCACUGCUCUGAGAGUGAAGCGAGUCCCUCUACAACAGGACUACCUGAACAACACCAGGGGAAUCACACAGCUAAGAAGAUUCACUGCUGUUCAGUGUGUGGAAAAAAACUGUCACAAGUUAUCAAAACUACAAAUACACAUGAGAACUCACACAGGAGAAAAACCUUACUCCUGCUCUGUCUGUGGGAAGCAAUUCAGUGACAAAGGAAACCUGAAAAACACCAGACGGUGCACACAGGAGAGAAGCAGUACAGUUGUUCCGUGUGUGGGGGAGUUUCUCUUCAUUGUCAAAUCUUACCAAACACCAGAUAACACACACAGGAGAGAGUCAAGUGUCUGUAGAAGAGUGUGGUUUUACACCACCAUUGGUUAUCAUAGUGAAAGAGGAGGACGAGGAUCCUGCUUUUGCAGAGAGACAUGACCACUGCUCUGACAGUGAAGGGAGUCCCUCUACAUCAGGACUACCUGAACAACACCAGGGGAAUCACACAGCUAAGAAAAUUCACUGCUGUUCAGUGUGCGGACAAGACUGCAAA